UACAGAGGGUGCAAGCGUUGUUCGGAAUUAUUGGGCGUAAAGGGAGUGUAGGCGGUUUGCUAAGUCUUCUGUGAAAACUCAGGGCUUAACCCUGAGCCUGCUUCCGAUACGGGCAGACUAGAGGUAUGCAGGGGAGAAUGGAAUUCCUGGUGUAGCGGUGAAAUGCGCAGAUAUCAGGAGGAACACCGGUGGCGAAGGCGGUUCUCUGGGCCGAUACUGACGCUGAGGAGCGAAAGCGUGGGGAGCGAACAGG
rnacentral:rRNA from 1 species